rnacentral:rRNA from 1 species
AAUGAACGUUGGCGGCAUGGAUUAGGCAUGCAAGUCGAGCGAGAAGUGUAGCAAUACACGGAAAGCGGCGGAAGGGAGAGUAAUACGUGGGAAUCUGCCCUUAGACCUGGGAUAGCAGCGGGAAACUGCUGGUAAUACCAGAUAAUGUCUAUGGACCAAAGGUGUGAUUCCGUCUAGGGAUGAGCCCACGUCCCAUUAGCUAGUUGGUAGGGUAAUGGCCUACCAAGGCGAUGAUGGGUAGCGGGUGUGAGAGCAUGACCCGCCUCACUGGGACUGAGACACUGCCCAGACACCUACGGGUGGCUGCAGUCGAGAAUCUUCGGCAAGGGGCGCAAGCCUGACCGAGCGAUGCCGCGUGCGGGAUGAAGGCCUUCGGGUUGUAAACCGCUGUCGAGGGGGAGCAACUUCCAUAGAGUUAUCUUUAUGGAUUGAGUGAUCCCUGGAGGAAGGACGGGCUAAGUUCGUGCCAGCAGCCGCCGUAAUAC